UACGGGAGGCAGCAGUAGGGAAUCUUCCACAAUGGACGCAAGUCUGAUGGAGCAACGCCGCGUGAGUGAAGAAGGUUUUCGGAUCGUAAAGCUCUGUUGUUGGUGAAGAAGGAUAGAGGUAGUAACUGGCCUUUAUUUGACGGUAAUCAACCAGAAAGUCACGGCUAACUACGUGCCAGCAGCCGCGGUAAUACGUAGGUGGCAAGCGUUGUCCGGAUUUAUUGGGCGUAAAGCGAGCGCAGGCGGAAAAAUAAGUCUAAUGUGAAAGCCCUCGGCUUAACCGAGGAACUGCAUCGGAAACUGUUUUUCUUGAGUGCAGAAGAGGAGAGUGGAACUCCAUGUGUAGCGGUGGAAUGCGUAGAUAUAUGGAAGAACACCAGUGGCGAAGGCGGCUCUCUGGUCUGCAACUGACGCUGAGGCUCGAAAGCAUGGGUAGCGAACAGGAUUAGAUACCCUGGUAGUCCAUGCCGUAAACGAUGAGUGCUAAGUGUUGGGAGGUUUCCGCCUCUCAGUGCUGCAGCUAACGCAUUAAGCACUCCGCCUGGGGAGUACGACCGCAAGGUUGAAACUCAAAGGAAUUGACGGGGGCCCGCACAAGCGGUGGAGCAUGUGGUUUAAUUCGAAGCAACGCGAAGAACCUUACCAGGUCUUGACAUCUAGUGCAAUCUGUAGAGAUACGGAGUUCCCUUCGGGGACGCUAAGACAGGUGGUGCAUGGCUGUCGUCAGCUCGUGUCGUGAGAUGUUGGGUUAAGUCCCGCAACGAGCGCAACCCUUGUUAUUAGUUGCCAGCAUUAAGUUGGGCACUCUAAUGAGACUGCCGGUGACAAACCGGAGGAAGGUGGGGAUGACGUCAAGUCAUCAUGCCCCUUAUGACCUGGGCUACACACGUGCUACAAUGGGCAGUACAACGAGAAGCAAGCCUGCGAAGGCAAGCGAAUCUCUGAAAGCUGUUCUCAGUUCGGACUGCAGUCUGCAACUCGACUGCACGAAGCUGGAAUCGCUAGUAAUCGCGGAUCAGCACGCCGCGGUGAAUACGUUCCCGGGCCUUGUACACACCGCCCGUCACACCAUGGGAGUCUGCAAUGCCCAAAGCCGGUGGCCUAACCUUCGGGAAGGAGCCGUCUAA
rnacentral:rRNA from 1 species